CUUGUCUCAAGACUAAGCCAUGCAUGUCUAAGUAUAAAUGCUUCUAUACAGUGAAACUGCGAAUGGCUCAUUAAAUCAGUUAUAGUUUAUUUGAUGGUUUCUUACUACUUGGAUAACCGUGGUAAUUCUAGAGCUAAUACAUGCACAAAGUCCCGACUUAACUGAAGGGAUGUAUUUAUUAGAUCCAAAACCAAUGCGAGCUCUCGGGUUCGGUUUGUUGGUGAUUCAUGAUAACUGCUCGAACCGUAUGGCCUUUGCGCCGGCGGUGCUUCAUUCAAAUUUCUGCCCUAUCAACUUUCGAUGGUACGGUAGUGGCCUACCAUGGUUGCAACGGGUGACGGAGAAUUAGGGUUCGAUUCCGGAGAGGGAGCCUGAGAAACGGCUACCACAUCUAAGGAAGGCAGCAGGCGCGCAAAUUACCCAAUCCCGACUCGGGGAGGUAGUGACAAUAAAUAACAAUGCCGGGCUAUCGUAGUCUGGCAAUUGGAAUGAGUACAAUCUAAAUCCCUUAACGAGGAUCAAUUGGAGGGCAAGUCUGGUGCCAGCAGCCGCGGUAAUUCCAGCUCCAAUAGCGUAUAUUAAAGUUGUUGCAGUUAAAAAGCUCGUAGUUGGAUUUCGGGGUGGCCUGGCUGGUCCAUCGCAAGGUGUGUACUGGUCAGCUGCCCUUCCUCUCGAAAGCCCCGACUGCUCUUCAUUGUAGUGGUCGGGUAGUUCGAGACGUUUACUUUGAAAAAAUUAGAGUGUUCAAGGCAGGCAGUCGCCUGAAUACAUUAGCAUGGAAUAAUGGAAGAGGACCUCGGUCCUAUUUUGUUGGUUUCUGGGGCCGAAGUAAUGAUUAAGAGGGACAGUUGGGGGCAUUCGUAUUUAAUUGUCAGAGGUGAAAUUCUUGGAUUUAUGAAAGACGAACUAGUGCGAAAGCAUUUGCCAAGGAUGUUUUCAUUAAUCAAGAACGAAAGUUAGGGUUC
rnacentral:rRNA from 1 species